rnacentral:rRNA from 1 species
CCCUACGGGACGCAGCAGUAGGGAAUUUUCCCCCUUUGUUGAGAGCCUGAUGGAGCAACGCCGCGUGGGUGAAGAAGGUCUUCGGAUCGUAAAACCCUGUUGUUAGAGAAGAAAGUGCGUGAGAGUAACUGUUCACGUUUCGACGGUAUCUAACCAGAAAGCCACGGCUAACUACGUGCCAGCAGCCGCGGUAAUACGUAGGUGGCAAGCGUUAUCCGGAUUUAUUGGGCGUAAAGGGAACGCAGGCGGUCUUUUAAGUCUGAUGUGAAAGCCUUCGGCUUAACCGGAGUAGUGCAUUGGAAACU